GAUGAACGCUGGCGGCGUGCCUAAUACAUGCAAGUCGAGCGAACAGGCGAGGAGCUUGCUCCUCUGACGUUAGCGGCGGACGGGUGAGUAACACGUGGAUAACCUACCUAUAAGACAGGGAUAACUUCGGGAAACCGGAGCUAAUACCGGAUAAUAUAUUGAACCGCAUGGUUCAAUAGUGAAAGACGGUUUUGCUGUCACUUAUAGAUGGAUCCGCGCCGCAUUAGCUAGUUGGUAAGGUAACGGCUUACCAAGGCAACGAUGCGUAGCCGACCUGAGAGGGUGAUCGGCCACACUGGAACUGAGACACGGUCCAGACUCCUACGGGAGGCAGCAGUAGGGAAUCUUCCGCAAUGGGCGAAAGCCUGACGGAGCAACGCCGCGUGAGUGAUGAAGGUCUUCGGAUCGUAAAACUCUGUUAUUAGGGAAGAACAAAUGUGUAAGUAACUAUGCACGUCUUGACGGUACCUAAUCAGAAAGCCACGGCUAACUACGUG
rnacentral:rRNA from 1 species